rnacentral:rRNA from 1 species
AGCGAACGCUGGCGGCAGGCCUAACACAUGCAAGUCGAACGGACCCUUCGGGGUUAGUGGCGGACGGGUGAGUAACACGUGGGAACGUGCCUUUAGGUUCGGAAUAGCUCCUGGAAACGGGUGGUAAUGCCGAAUGUGCCCUUCGGGGGAAAGAUUUAUCGCCUUUAGAGCGGCCCGCGUCUGAUUAGCUAGUCGGUGAGGUAAUGGCUCACCAAGGCGACGAUCAGUAGCUGGUCUGAGAGGAUGACCAGCCACAUUGGGACUGAGACACGGCCCAAACUCCUACGGGAGGCAGCAGUGGGGAAUCUUGCGCAAUGGGCGAAAGCCUGACGCAGCCAUGCCGCGUGGAUGAUGAAGGUCUUAGGAUUGUAAAAUCCUUUCACCGGUGAAGAUAAUGACUGUAGCCGGAGAAGAAGCCCCGGCUAACUUCGUGCCAGCCGCCGCGGUAAUAC